rnacentral:rRNA from 1 species
AACGAACGCUGGCGGCAUGCCUAACACAUGCAAGUCGAACGAGACCUUCGGGUCUAGUGGCGCACGGGUGCGUCACGCGUGGGAACCUGCCCUUAGGUUCGGAAUACCUCCCCGACAGGGGUGCUAAUACCGGAUAAUGUCUUCUGACCAAAGAUUUAUCGCCUUUGGUUGGGCCCGCGUUGGAUUAGCUAGUUGGUAGGGUAAAAGCAUACCACGGCGACGAUCCAUAGCUGGUCUGAGAGGAUGAUCAGCCACACUGGGACUGAGACACGGCCCAGACUCCUACGGGAGGGAGGAGUGGGGAAUAUUGGACAAUGGGCGAAGGCCUGAACCAGCAAUGCCGGGUAAGUGAUGAAGGCCUUAGGGAUGUAAAGCUCUUUUAACCGGGAUGAUAAUGACAGUACCGGGAGAAUAAGCUCCGGCUAACUCCGUG